rnacentral:rRNA from 1 species
AAAAUUAAGUCAGUGGUGAAAUCUUACCGCUUAACGGUGAAAUUGCCAUUGAUACUGAUUUUCUUGAGUACAGUUGAGGUAGGCGGAAUGUGUAAUGUAGCGGUGAAAUGCUUAGAUAUUACACAGAACACCGAUUGCGAAGGCAGCUUACUAAACUGUCACUGACGCUGAGGCACGAAAGCGUGGGGAGCGAACAGGAUUAGAUACCCUGGUAGUCCACGCUGUAAACGAUGAUCACUCGUUGUUGGCGAUACACUGUCAGCGACUGAGCGAAAGCAUUAAGUGAUCCACCUGGGGAGUACGACCGCAAGGUUGAAACUCAAAGGAAUUGACGGGGGCCCGCACAAGCGGAGGAACAUGUGGUUUAAUUCGAUGAUACGCGAGGAACCUUACCUGGGCUUAAAUGCAGGACGACGUUCGCCGAAAGGUGAAUUUCCUUCGGGACGGACUGCAAGGUGCUGCAUGGUUGUCGUCAGCUCGUGCCGUGAGGUGUCGGGUUAAGUCCCAUAACGAGCGCAACCCUUAUCGUUAGUUGCCAGCGGGUAAUGCCGGGGACUCUAACGAAACUGCCGGUGUAAACCGUGAGGAAGGUGGGGAUGACGUCAAAUCAGCACGGCCCUUAUGUCCAGGGCUACACACGUGUUACAAUGGCCGGUACAAAGGGCA